rnacentral:rRNA from 1 species
CGGCAGACGGGUGAGUAACACGUGGGUGACCUGCCCUCAAGACGGGGAUAACUGAUGGAAACAGCAGCUAAUACCCGAUGCCCUUACCGUGUCGAAGUGGUAAGGAAAGCUCCGGUGCUUGAGGAGGGGCUCGCGGCCCAUCAGCUAGUUGGUGAGGUAAUGGCUCACCAAGGCGAAGACGGGUAGGGGGUGUGAGAGCAUGACCCCCCACAAUGGGACUGAGAUACGGCCCAUACUUCUACGGAAGGCAGCAGCAGGGAAUCUUGCCCAAUGGACGUAAGUCUGAGGCAGUGACGCCGCGUGAGUGAUGACGGCCUUCGGGUUGUAAAACUCUUUUUGAGGGGAAGAGCGAGGACGGUACCCUCAGGAUAAGCGUCGGCUAACUACGUGCCAGCAGCCGCGGUAAGACGUAGGACGCAAGCGUUAUCCGGAUUUACUGGGCGUAAAGCGUCUGUAGGCGGACAGGUAAGUUGAACGUGAAAGCUCCGUGCUCAACGCGGAGAGGCCGUACAAUACUGCCUGACUAGAGGAGGUCAGAGGGGAGUGGAAUUUCCGGUGUAGCGGUAAAAUGCGCAGAUAUCGGAAGGAACACCAGUGGCGAAGGCGGCUCCCUGGGGCCCACCUGACGCUGAGAGACGAAAGCUAGGGGAGCGAACAGGAUUAGAGACCCUGGUAGUCCUAGCCCUAAACGCUGAAUGCUAGGUGUGGGGACGUAAAGUUUCCGUGCCGGAGCUAACGCGAUAGCAUUCCGCCUGGGGAGUACGACCGCAAGGUUAAAACUCAAACGAAUUGACGGGACCCCGCACAAGCAGCGGAGCGUGUGGUUUAAUUCGAUGCUACACGAAGAACCUUACCUGGGUUUGACAUACAAGUGGUAGGAAGCCGAAAGGUGACUGACCCUUCGGGGAGCUUGUACAGGUGCCGCAUGGCUGUCGUCAGCUCGCCGUGAGGUGUCGGGUUAAGUCCCGUAACGAGCGCAACCCUUGCCCUUAGUUACAAGUGUCUAAGGGGACUGCCGGCGGGAAGCCGGAGGAAGGUGGGGAUGACGUCAAGUCAGCAUGGCCCUUAUGUCCAGGGCUACACACACGCUACAAUGGGCGGUACAGAGGGCAGCGAAGCCGCGAGGUGAAGCGAAUCCCACAAAGCCGUUCGUAGUUCGGAUAGCAGGCUGCAACUCGCCUGCUUGAAGCUGGAGUUGCUAGUAACCGCGCGUCAGCUAUAGUGCGGUGAAUACGUUCCCGGGGUUUGUACACACCGCCCGUCACGUCAUGGGAGUUGGUAACGCCUGAAGCCGAUAGCUUAACUCGCAAGAGGGGGCGUCGUCGAGGGCGGGACUGGCAACUGGGACGAAGUCGUAACAAGGUA